rnacentral:rRNA from 1 species
CUUUUAGUUGCCAACAGGUUAAGCUGGGGACUCUAGAAGGACUGCCUGCGCAAGCAGAGAGGAAGGAGGGGAUGACGUCAAGUCAUCAUGGCCCUUACGCCCAGGGCUACACACGUGCUACAAUGGCGUCUACAAAGUGUUGCCAGCUAGUGAUAGCGAGCCAAUCACAAAAAGGACGUCUCAGUUCGGAUUGCAGGCUGCAACUCGCCUGCAUGAAGUUGGAAUCGCUAGUAAUCGCAGAUCAGCAAUGCUGCGGUGAAUACGUUCCCGGACCUUGUACACACCGCCCGUCAAGCCAUGGAAGCUGGGAGGACCUGAAGGCAGUUGCCGCGAGGCGCUG